rnacentral:rRNA from 1 species
ACGGACCCUUCGGGGUUAGUGGCGGACGGGUGAGUAACACGUGGGAACGUGCCUUUAGGUUCGGAAUAGCUCCUGGAAACGGGUGGUAAUGCCGAAUGUGCCCUUCGGGGGAAAGAUUUAUCGCCUUUAGAGCGGCCCGCGUCUGAUUAGCUAGUUGGUGGGGUAAUGGCCCACCAAGGCUACGAUCAGUAGCUGGUCUGAGAGGAUGACCAGCCACAUUGGGACUGAGACACGGCCCAAACUCCUACGGGAGGCAGCAGUGGGGAAUCUUGCGCAAUGGGCGAAAGCCUGACGCAGCCAUGCCGCGUGUAUGAUGAAGGUCUUAGGAUUGUAAAAUACUUUCACCGGUGAAGAUAAUGACUGUAGCCGGAGAAGAAGCCCCGGCUAACUUCGUGCCAGCAGCCGCGGUAAUACGAAGGGGGCUAGCGUUGCUCGGAAUUACUGGGCGUAAAGGGAGCGUAGGCGGACAUUUAAGUCAGAGGUGAAAUCCCGGAGCUUAACUUCGGAACUGCCUUUGAUACUGGGUGUCUUGAGUGUGAGAGAGGUAUGUGGAACUCCGAGUGUAGAGGUGAAAUUCGUAGAUAUUCGGAAGAACACCAGUGGCGAAGGCGACAUACUGGCUCAUUACUGACGCUGAGGCUCGAAAGCGUGGGGAGCAAACAGGAUUAGAUACCCUGGUAGUCCACGCCGUAAACGAUGA